UAAUAUCAAUGCCGAAUUCCAGCCCAAAACUCUUGAAUAUGCAUACACGUUUUGUAUGAAUAUAAAAAUCAGAUAAGCGAUUUAGAAAUAGAAUUGUGUGUUUUUUCUUAUCAGGUGAACUGUACGUGAUGACAACGUCUUUUGGUGAGAGAGGCCUUUCCUCAGCGGUACUGAAAUUGGUUCAAAAGAGUGCCACUCCGGUCACGUGCGCAGCAAUGAGAGUCCAGUUAUCGCUGAUAUUGACAACACUCGUUUGGCUGUGUGGUCACGUGAUAAAGAACACCAGUUAAAAUGUGGCUUGCAUGUUAUUUAUUGAUAGCUUUCAACACGGAAUACCAUUGUCUUUACAAAAAAUAGAAUAUUUCAGAGGAGGGAUUUGCCGUAUGGUUGUACGAUAUAUCCAUUGUAGUACUAAUCCCAUACAUCUGAGGUUGCCCAUGUUGAUCAUUGUAAAUCAUCUGUUUUGAAAUUCCGAUCAGUAAAGAAAUACAUUGAU